rfam:Picea glauca, whole genome shotgun sequence.
AUGUACAUUAUUACACCAUAGAAUUAAUGUAGUGGAUCCCAUUAUAACUCCAUAGUUAAGCACGCUCAGGCUAGAGUAGUACUAGGAUGGGUGGUCGCCCAAGAAGUCCUAUUGUUUUACAUU